UCAAAUUCUGGCCUGUAAUCUUUUUAAUAUUUUUUAAAAAAUGAAACACUACAGCUUGCAGUGAGUUUCAUGCUGGGUCUGUCUGAGUUGGAGAAACUUACAGUAAGGUUGGAGUGCAAAGAUCUUUGCAGCACAAUGCUACUCUACUGUUUUAUAGCCCCCGUACAGUAGGCAUAUGCUCAUAAGAAUAUGAGCAGUGUCAUUGACUUCAGUGGACAUUACUCAUGUGCUUAGAGUCACACUUGCUUAAGUGCUUUGCUGCAUUAGUGGGGGGCUUUUUGUUUGGUUUGGGGUUUUUUGUGAAUGAACUUCUAAUAUAGAUGCUUAAAGUCAUCUAAGAAUAGUUAUGGGUGUGGAACAGUGAGCGCUGCAAUUAACUGCUCCCACCAAAUGGGAAAAUUGCUGAAAGUGGGUUGGGCAUGUUUCUUUAAAUAAUUCCCCUCAUCCCUAUUGUGAAUGCUGUAUUAACUUUUCUACUAAUUUUCCCUAUUCUUUCUCCCCCAAAUGGGAGCCAAAGGAAGCUGCAGCCAGAAGGAAUCACAGGCAGUUCAGCUCCAUUGGAGUCCUGGAAGACUGCAUUAUUCAGUGGCAGUUGCAAAAAGGAGGGACAAGAGAUUACCUUAACAAAUGCCCUUUGGAACUUUGGCCUGUCUUGAUGUAACUUUGAAGGUAUGAGAAAACUGACAUGAAGAGAUUGCAGAACGUGACUGGAUGUUGCACAGUGAGCAGCUUGCAAUAAACUGCUCCUAGAAGACCCAGAAUCUAGCUACGUUCAUUCUCUGUGUUCAUGGAACCUUCUAUUUCCCACCUUUCAUCUUUCUCAGCCAUCUCUGCCAUCAACCUGAAUGCUGAGACACACAAGCCUUGUCUACAUUGGCAAGUUUCUGCGCAGUAAAGCAGCUUUCUGUGGUGUAACUCCCGAGGUGUACAUGCUGCCAAGCCACUUAGUGUGCAGAAACUGUGCAGCUGAAGUGCUGUAAAUAAAGCACCCCGAUGAGAGGCAUACAGCUUUCUCUGCUGGGGAUACAGUGCUGUGGUGCCAGUGUAGACCCCCAGUCGAUUACAGCGCUGCGACUGGCCUCUAGUAGGUGUCCCACAAUGCCUAUUCUCGCCUCUCCGGUCAUCAGUUUGAACUCUACUGCCCUCCCUUCAGGUGACCAACCAUCAGCCCCACCCCUUAAAUUCUUUGGGAAUUUUGCAAG